rnacentral:rRNA from 1 species
CAGAAUAAGCACCGGCUAACUCCGUGCCAGCAGCCGCGGUAAUACGUAGGGUGCAAGCGUUAAUCGGAAUUACUGGGCGUAAAGCGNGCGCAGGCGGUUNGUUAAGUCAGAUGUGAAAUCCCCGGGCUCAACCUGGGAACUGCAUUUGAAACUGNCNGGCUAGAGUNUGGUAGAGGGGGGUGGAAUUCCNNGUGUAGCNGUGAAAUGCGUAGAUAUNGGGAGGAACACCGAUGGCGAAGGCAGCCCCCUGGNNCNAUACUGACGCUCAGGCGCGAAAGCGUGGGGAGCAAA